rnacentral:lncRNA from 1 species
GAGAAUGGAAAAGGGAAAAUGUGAGUACAGAGAAAGUAGCACUGAUUUCCAUCACAAAAAAGAGAUUCUACAGAGCUCUGGAGGAAAGUCACACCACAGCACAGGCAGAUCCUGGGAAAUGCACUGAAUCUGUGGACUGCCUUGGUACUGUUGUAGGCCAAUGUGUCUUGCACCUCUGUGCUGGAAUUCUGUGGGACUCCUCUCCAAACCAAAGUUCCUCAAAAAAGUGUUGUUAAGGAAAGUGCAGCUUCGAGAGACAUACAUCUGCCAGACCAGGAAAAGAACAUUAAUGAGGUUUCUCACCGUCCUCAAGGAGUCCUAUAGAAUUUUCUCAUUGUUCUGUGAGAUAAAGCAAAACAAAACAGCCAUGAAAGUUAUGUGA